rnacentral:rRNA from 1 species
AGAGUUUGAUCAUGGCUCAGGACGAACGCUGGCGGCGUGCCUAAUACAUGCAAGUCGAGCGAAUCUUUGGGAGCUUGCUCCCAUUGGUUAGCGGCGGACGGGUGAGUAACACGUGGGCAACCUGCCUGUAAGACUGGGAUAACACCGGGAAACCGGUGCUAAUACCGGAUAAUCCUUUUCCUCUCAUGAGGAAAAGCUGAAAGACGGUUUCGGCUGUCACUUACAGAUGGGCCCGCGGCGCAUUAGCUAGUUGGUGAGGUAAUGGCUCACCAAGGCGACGAUGCGUAGCCGACCUGAGAGGGUGAUCGGCCACACUGGGACUGAGACACGGCCCAGACUCCUACGGGAGGCAGCAGUAGGGAAUCUUCCGCAAUGGACGAAAGUCUGACGGAGCAACGCCGCGUGAGCGAUGAAGGCCUUCGGGUCGUAAAGCUCUGUUGUUAGGGAAGAACAAGUAUCGGAGUAACUGCCGGUACCUUGACGGUACCUAACCAGAAAGCCACGGCUAACUACGUGCCAGCAGCCGCGGUAAUACGUAGGUGGCAAGCGUUGUCCGGAAUUAUUGGGCGUAAAGCGCGCGCAGGCGGUCCUUUAAGUCUGAUGUGAAAGCCCACGGCUCAACCGUGGAGGGUCAUUGGAAACUGGGGGACUUGAGUGCAGAAGAGGAAAGCGGAAUUCCACGUGUAGCGGUGAAAUGCGUAGAGAUGUGGAGGAACACCAGUGGCGAAGGCGGCUUUCUGGUCUGUAACUGACGCUGAGGCGCGAAAGCGUGGGGAGCAAACAGGAUUAGAUACCCUAGUAGUCC